rnacentral:misc_RNA from 1 species
ACAAAGUAGUCAUGCAAGUUUGAACCAAAGGCUCAACAUCAUUCUGACCAAAUUCGAACUUAUGAGCUACACGCUCCAAAUGCUCAACUGCAAUCCUUGAAGCCAUUUCAUACCCUUCUGCAAUCCGAAUAGGAUGAAUGCCACGUUCUAACAACUUCUCAGCUUGUUCUAGGAGUGCCCCAGCCAUGACAACAACUCCAGUGGUUCCAUCACCGAUUUCAUAAUCCUGACUUCGUGACAACUCAACCAUUAACUUCCCAAUCUGAUUGUCAACAUCCAUCUGCUCCAAAAUGGUGGCACCAUCAUUUGUGAUGGUGACAUCGCCGUCAGGGCUCUGAAGCAUCUUAUCCAUGCCUUUAGGACCAAGUGAGGUACGUAAAAUACGUGCAACAGCUUUUCCGGCGGAAAUGUUGGCCUUCUGAGCAUCGAGGCCUCUUAAUCUGGUUUUUUGUUCUUGCUCCCUUAGUAUUAUAAACGGCCUUCCGAAUUCAUCGAAAGCUAACGCCAUUGUUCACUGUGACCUGCUUCCGGUCAGAUCGGUAAAUAAUAAUCUCCGGCGACAGUGACAGAGAGAGUUGUUUUAUGAAUCUA